rnacentral:lncRNA from 1 species
UAUAUUUUUCAAUUGAAUUUUAAUUGAACAAAUGAUUUAAUUAUUAAAUAAUGCAGAUAUGGAUAUCCGGCUUUCCGGAUGCACACAGAUCUUGAUUUUUAAGAUUCGGAUCCACAUUAUUUAACAUGCAUAUCCGGAUCCAAAGUUUAUUGUCAUCCCUAGCGUGUACCACCCUUUCUCGCAAAUCGGCAUUUCACUCAAUUACCCAACCACUCGGCCUUUGUGAGGGCAACAGUUUGAGCCCCCACAAAAGCAUUGUGGGGGCUAAAAUUCUUUUCCCAAUUAUGAAAAAUAAUUGAGUGAAGGCAGCCUCCUUUCUCUCGAAAUGAGAGUGGAUUAGACAUUUCUCGAAUAUUAGAGAGAGUUAAAAUAUGGGCUUCAAUCUCAAGAAUUUGUCUGAUUGUAAAUAUAUCAGUAAUAGCCUCAUGUAAUAUUAGUUGUAAUUUAGGCAUUAGUCCCAUGUAAUUCAAAAUAACUUGCAAUUUACACUUUGUGAAUUAAUUCAUUUAUCAAUGCUUGAUAUGUUUCUAUAUCUACACUGAUCACACAUAUGCAGCAUGUUGUUGUUAGGCAUUGCUUAACAGCAUAUCAGUUGAAUUUGAUUCAAUUACUUAUCUACCCUAGUUCUUAAUUGCCUAAUUUCUUUUAUCUUCAUCUAUCCCAAUUUUGCGUAUUGUGGUUCUGCUGCCCUUGCCUAACCGCUUAAACUUUUUUUCUCUUUCUCAUUGAAAUUCAAGUCUUUUUUAAAUGUAGAAUUAUUCUUCCUUUGGGAAAAAAAAGAAAGCAAGAAAUAUUCUAUGUAAAUUGCAGAAUAUUGCAAGAACUAAAGUCCGAAUAACAUUUUAGAUAGCCUUAAUCAUUCCGAAAUACUUUUGUUAGAUUUCAUUAUUAAUUUAUAAUGAAAAUCUAUAGAAGCACGAAGCCACCAUUAACCCUAACUUUAUUGAUCAAAAUAAUAAAGUAGAUGGAACUGAACUCACUACCCAGGUUGGCGAAAAGGGAAAAGAAAAAAGAUGUAAUAAUAGACCCCCAACAUGGAAAAUGCACCAUGUAUAUCUUGAUUUGAUCGCGUUAAUAAAGAAGAUGUGACAUCGAAAAGUAAUUCGUGGAAUACGAUAUUACCUCUAUAUGCUAAGCCUACCCAUUACGUGAGGAUUAUCGUAUUUAACGGCGGCGAAAAUUUUAUUGGGGUGGAAAUUAUAAUUGAAAGUUGAAUUAAUCACGCAUCCCCCGACUCGAUUGCUAUA